ACAACGAACCUUGCCGUCUGGGUUAAAAAGUCCCUGACAAAUUUGGCGACUCCGCCGGGACUCGUCUGACUCUCCGGUGCGGGAUCAGACUCCGAAGCAACGCAGCGCGCAUCCUCUGGCUUCGAGGAGCCUUGCCCGGUAACCUGAUCCCUGCAUCGGCGAUAAGGCGAGUUCUGUGAACCAGCUGAAGCCCGUACAAACCCAGCAAUGUCCACCUACCCGUUGAGUAGGAUCCAGGUCUUCGGGGUUCGAGUCCCUGGGGAGGUCAGGUCUUUGGGGUUCGAGUCCCUGAAUAAGGUAAAGAAGUGCUACCUAAAGACCGUAGCAGCCCUGCCAUUCAUUGAAACCAGGAGACUGAGUCUACGUAAAGUCCAUCAACGAAAGACUGCUUUGACUCCAUGCUAGAAAGGCCCUUUCCAAGUCCUGUUAACCACCGACACCGCUGUGAAGUGCCAAGGACUGCCUACCUGGACUCAUGUUUCUCACUGCAAAAAGACUCCUCCACCUCGGGAGGACUCUCCGACUGAUGAUCAGCCUAUUCCUCCUUCUAACUCUGCUGUGCCUUCUGGACAGCAAAGAAAAGAAAAAAAAAAGACAAAGUGAAGUGCUAGUAACCUCUCCGUUGUCCACUGACAGACCUACUGUGCCUUUAGAUUUUUUCCUAAAAGAAGCAAAACCCAUUACAGGGUGAUGUGCUAGUAACCUCUCCCCUGUAUGAUGCUGAACCACACUGUUUCAGAAAAAGAGAAGAAGGAACACUUGCUCUAUUGAAACCACCAAAGCCCAAGAAUUCCUGAUUAAAAAAAAAAA